AGAGUUUGAUCCUGGCUCAGAACGAACGCUGGCGGCGUGUUUAAGACAUGCAAGUCGAACGGAGUGAAGUUGUAGCAAUACCGCUUCAUUCAGUGGCGCACGGGUGCGUAACACGUGAGUUACAUGCCCUGCAGUGGGGAAUAGCCCGCCGAAAGGCGGAUUAAUACUCCAUGGUCCCGCAAGGGUAAAGGUGGCCGCAAGGCUGCCGCUGCAGGAUUGGCUCGCGGCUUAUCAGCUUGUUGGUGAGGUAACGGCUCACCAAGGCGACGACGGGUACCUGGUCUGAGAGGAUGAUCAGGCACACUGGAACUGAGACACGGUCCAGACACCUACGGGUGGCAGCAGUCGAGAAUAAUUCACAAUGGGGGAAACCCUGAUGGUGCAACGCCGCGUGGAGGAUGAAGGUCUUCGGAUUGUAAACUCCUGUCAUCGGGGAGUAAGACCUGGAGGUGAAUAGCCUACAGGGUUGAUAGUACCCGAAGAGGAAGGGACGGCUAACUUCGUGCCAGCAGCCGCGGUAAUACGAAGGUCCCAAGCGUUGUUCGGAAUCACUGGGCGUAAAGGGAGCGUAGGCGGCGUGGUAAGUCAGAUGUGAAAUCCCGGGGCUCAACCCCGGAACUGCAUCCGAUACUGCCGUGCUUGAGGGUUGGAGAGGUAGCUGGAAUUCUCGGUGUAGCAGUGAAAUGCGUGGAUAUCGAGAGGAACACUCGUGGCGAAGGCGAGCUACUGGACAACAUCUGACGCUGAGGCUCGAAAGGCUAGGGGAGCAAAAGGGAUUAGAUACCCCUGUAGUCCUAGCA
rnacentral:rRNA from 1 species